rnacentral:tRNA from 1 species
CCCCCGAUAGCUCAGUUGGAAGAGCGCAAGACUGUAAUGGGAAACCAACUCAUCUUGAGGUCACUAGUUCGAACCUGGUUCGGGGGA